rnacentral:rRNA from 1 species
UUUCUUCGGAAUGAAGUUUUUGUGACUGAGUGGCGGACGGGUGAGUAACGCGUGGGUAACCUGCCUCAUACAGGGGGAUAACAGUUGGAAACGACUGCUAAUACCGCAUGACACAUAAAGAUCGCAUGGUUUUAUGUCAAAGAUUUAUCGCUGAAAGAUGGCCUCGCGUCUGAUUAGCUAGUUGGUGAGGUAACGGCCCACCAAGGCGACGAUCAGUAGCCGGACUGAGAGGUUGACCGGCCACAUUGGGACUGAGAUACGGCCCAGACUCC